rnacentral:rRNA from 1 species
AGUGAACGCUGGCGGUAGGCCUAACACAUGCAAGUCGAACGGCAGCACAGUAAGAGCUUGCUCUUACGGGUGGCGAGUGGCGGACGGGUGAGGAAUACAUCGGAAUCUACUUUUUCGUGGGGGAUAACGUAGGGAAACUUACGCUAAUACCGCAUACGACCUACGCGUGAAAGCAGGGGAUCUUCGGACCUUGCGCGAUUGAAUGAGCCGAUGUCGGAUUAGCUAGUUGGCGGGGUAAAGGCCCACCAAGGCGACGAUCCGUAGCUGGUCUGAGAGGAUGAUCAGCCACACUGGAACUGAGACACGGUCCAGACUCCUACGGGAGGCAGCAGUGGGGAAUAUUGGACAAUGGGCGCAAGCCUGAUCCAGCCAUACCGCGUGAGUGAAGAAGGCCUUCGGGUUGUAAAGCCCUUUUGUUGGGAAAGAAAAGCAGCAGGUUAAUACCCCGCUGUUCUGACGGUACCCAAAGAAUAAGCACCGGCUAACUUCGUG